GAUGAACGCUGACAGAAUGCUUAACACAUGCAAGUCAACUUGAAUUUGGGUUUUUAACUUAGGUUUGGGUGGCGGACGGGUGAGUAACGCGUAAAGAACUUGCCUCACAGCUAGGGACAACAUUUGGAAACGAAUGCUAAUACCUAAUAUUAUGAUAAUAGGGCAUCCUAUAAUUAUGAAAGCUAUAAGCGCUGUGAGAGAGCUUUGCGUCCCAUUAGCUAGUUGGAGAGGUAACGGCUCACCAAGGCGAUGAUGGGUAGCCGGCCUGAGAGGGUGAUCGGCCACAAGGGGACUGAGACACGGCCCUUACUCCUACGGGAGGCAGCAGUGGGGAAUAUUGGACAAUGGACCGAGAGUCUGAUCCAGCAAUUCUGUGUGCACGAUGAAGUUUUUCGGAAUGUAAAGUGCUUUCAGUUGGGAAGAAAAAAAUGACGGUACCAACAGAAGAAGUGACGGCUAAAUACGUGCCAGCAGCCGCGGUAAUACGUAUGUCACGAGCGUUAUCCGGAUUUAUUGGGCGUAAAGCGCGUCUAGGUGGUUAUAUAAGUCUGAUGUGAAAAUGCAGGGCUCAACUCUGUAUUGCGUUGGAAACUGUAUAACUAGAGUACUGGAGAGGUAAGCGGAACUACAAGUGUAGAGGUGAAAUUCGUAGAUAUUUGUAGGAAUGCCGAUGGGGAAGCCAGCUUACUGGACAGAUACUGACGCUGAAGCGCGAAAGCGUGGGUAGCAAACAGG
rnacentral:rRNA from 1 species